UGGGUAAGGUUCAACCUCAAGUGCAGCCCA
rnacentral:piRNA from 1 species